rnacentral:rRNA from 1 species
GAGACAGUUCGGUCCCUAUCCGUCGCGGGCGCAGGAAAUUUGAGAGGAGCUGUCCUUAGUACGAGAGGACCGGGAUGGACACACCGCUGGUGUACCAGUUGUUCCGCCAGGAGCAUCGCUGGGUAGCUAUGUGUGGCAGGGAUAAACGCUGAAAGCAUCUAAGCGUGAAGCCCCCCUCAAGAUGAGAUUUCCCAUUUCUUCGGAAAGUAAGAUCCCUGAAAGAUGAUCAGGUAGAUAGGUUUGGAGUGGAAGUGUAGCGAUACAUGGAGCGGACAAAUACUAAUCGAUCGAGGACUUAACCAA